CCAGACUCCUACGGGAGGCAGCAGUGGGGAAUAUUGGGCAAUGGGCGCAAGCCUGACCCAGCAACGCCGCGUGAAGGAAGAAGGCUUUCGGGUUGUAAACUUCUUUUGACAGGGAAGAGCAGAAGACGGUAUCUGUCGAAUAAGCCACGGCUAACUACGUGCCAGCAGCCGCGGUAAUACGUAGGUGGCAAGCGUUGUCCGGAUUUACUGGGUGUAAAGGGCGUGUAGCCGGGCUGACAAGUCAGAUGUGAAAUCCGGGGGCUCAACCCCCGAACUGCAUUUGAAACUGUUGGUCUUGAGUAUCGGAGAGGCAGGCGGAAUUCCUAGUGUAGCGGUGAAAUGCGUAGAUAUCAGGAGGAACACCGGCGGCGAAGGCGGCCUGCUGGACUGAAACUGACGUUGAGGCUCGAAAGCGUGGGGAGCAAACAGGAUUAGAUACCCCCGUACG
rnacentral:rRNA from 1 species